rnacentral:rRNA from 1 species
AUUGAACGCUGGCGGUAUGCUUAAGACAUGCAAGUCGAACGGUAACAGACCUUCGGGUGCUGACGAGUGGCGGACGGGUGAGUAACACGUGGGAAUCUACCUUGUAGUGGGGGAUAAGCCAGGGAAACUUGGACUAAUACCGCAUACGCCCUAAGGGGGAAAGGAGCAAUUCGCUAUAAGAUGAGCCCGCGUCUGAUUAGCUAGUUGGUGAGGUAAAGGCUCACCAAGGCGACGAUCAGUAGCUGGUCUGAGAGGAUGACCAGCCACAUUGGGACUGAGACACGGCCCAGACUCCUACGGGAGGCAGCAGUCGGGAAUAUUGGACAAUGGGGGCAACCCUGAUCCAGCAAUACCGCGUGUGUGAAGAAGGCCUGCGGGUUGUAAAGCACUUUUAGUAGGGAAGAUAAUGACGUUACCUACAGAAAAAGCACCGGCUAACUCCGUGCCAGCAGCCGCGGUUAAUGUGCGCGAGU